UGCAGUCGAACGGAGCCUUCGGGCUUUAGUGGCGAACGGGUGAGUAAUGCCUAGGAAUCUGCCCAUUAGCGGGGGAUAACGUUCCGAAAGGAACGCUAAUACCGCAUACGCCCUACGGGGGAAAGCAGGGGAUCUUCGGACCUUGCACUAAUGGAUGAGCCUAGGUCGGAUUAGCUAGUUGGUGGGGUAAAGGCUCACCAAGGCGACGAUCUGUAGCGGGUCUGAGAGGAUGAUCCGCCACACUGGAACUGAGACACGGUCCAGACUCCUACGGGAGGCAGCAGUGGGGAAUAUUGGACAAUGGGCGCAAGCCUGAUCCAGCCAUGCCGCGUGUGUGAAGAAGGCCUUUUGGUUGUAAAGCACUUUAAGCGGGGAGGAGGCAACUUGGGUUAAUACCCCGAUGUUGCGGACGUUACCCGCAGAAUAAGCACCGGCUAACUCUGUGCCAGCAGCCGCGGUAAUACAGAGGGUGCGAGCGUUAAUCGGAAUUACUGGGCGUUAAAGCGCGCGUAGGCGGCUUGUUAAGUCGGAUGUGAAAUCCCUGGGCUCAACCUAGGAACUGCAUUCGAUACUGGCAAGCUAGAGUGUGGGAGAGGAAGGGUAGAAUUCCAGGUGUAGCGGUGAAAUGCGUAGAGAUCUGGAGGAAUACCGAUGGCGAAGGCAGCCUUCUGGCCUAACACUGACGCUGAGGUGCGAAAGCAUGGGGAGCAAACAGGAUUAGAUACCCUGGUAGUCCAUGCCGUAAACGAUGUCAACUAGCCGUUGGGCCCCUUGAGGGUUUAGUGGCGCAGCUAACGCGAUAAGUUGACCGCCUGGGGAGUACGGCCGCAAGGUUAAAACUCAAAUGAAUUGACGGGGGCCCCGCACAAGCGGUGGAGCAUGUGGUUUAAUUCGAUGCAACGCGAAGAACCUUACCUGGCCUUGACAUGUCCGGAAUCCUGCAGAGAUGCGGGAGUGCCUUCGGGAAUCGGAACACAGGUGCUGCAUGGCUGUCGUCAGCUCGUGUCGUGAGAUGUUGGGUUAAGUCCCGCAACGAGCGCAACCCUUUUCCUUAGUUGCCAGCGAUUCGGUCGGGAACUCUAAGGAUACUGCCAGUGACAAACUGGAGGAAGGCGGGGACGACGUCAAGUCAUCAUGGCCCUUACGGCCAGGGCUACACACGUGCUACAAUGGUCGGUACAAAGGGUUGCUAAGCCGCGAGGCCACGCCAAUCUCAAAAAGCCGAUCGUAGUCCAGAUUGGAGUCUGCAACUCGACUCCAUGAAGUCGGAAUCGCUAGUAAUCGCGGAUCAGAAUGCCGCGGUGAAUACGUUCCCGGGCCUUGUACACACCGCCCGUCACACCAUGGGAGUUCUGUUGCACCAGAAGUAGUUAGCCUAACCGCAAGGAGGGCGAUA
rnacentral:rRNA from 1 species